GCAAACUUGGUCAUUUAGAGGAAGUAAAAGUCGUAACAAGGUUUCCGUAGGGUGAGUAAUCAUCCAUUCCGUUAUUUGAUUAUAACUAAUAAUUUUUACAGUGAACCUGCGGAAGGAUCAUUAAUGAGUAAGGGUCUCUUCUGGCCCGACCUCCAACCCUGUGUUUAAUAAACCACGUUGCUUUGGCGGGCCCGUCUCUGGACCGCCGGCGGUCAGCCAUGACCUCUGGCCAGUGCCCGCCAAGGACUCUUUCAAAAUCUGGUAAAAUGUGUCUUUUCUCAGUUUGCAAGUUAAUGAACAAAACUUUCAACAACGGAUCUCUUGGUUCUGGCAUCGAUGAAGAACGCAGC
rnacentral:misc_RNA from 1 species